rnacentral:pre_miRNA from 1 species
AGUGGUAUGGCUGGAUCUUGUGGUAGAAUUAUAUUCCUAGUUUUCUGAGCAGCUGCCAAAUUGUUUCCAAUAUGAUUGUACAAGUUUGCACUUCCAACAGCAAA